ensembl:lncRNA
UUGCGAGAUGCUUCAUGAACCACCAAAACACAAAACGCGAGCUUGUUGAACUUGUGUCUCUGUAAGAAUAAUCUACGCGUUGAGCAUUUACCACUUGCCUCAUACCUAGCCCGAGACGACCUACCACAAAGGAUCGAAUUAGUCACUCUGGUCGAACUUGGAGUCAGAAUGGACUUUGUUUUAGGCUGGAGGAAACUUUUUUCAUUUCUUCCAGUCUUAUUGGCUGCCGUUGGCGUUUGUGGUGACACGUGCAAAGUCACCCAUCAGGGCAAAGCAACGACGUACAACAUCUCAAACCCUAAGAGCAAUCCAACGUGUGAUUACAGCUGGGCUGAUUCUAAUCUGUUGGUACUGGCAACUGAUGCCGAACCCGAAGGAAAAGGAAUUAUAUCCUCAUCUCACUCCUCUCUCACUUUGCUUGGAUGCUGGAAGAAUGUUUGUGUUACAAUUUAUUGCCAUCUGAAGCACCACACAACCUGCUGCUACACUAACUGCCCUGCUGCACCAGAACCUCCAGCUGACUUCACUGCUGCACCAGAACCUCCAGCUGACUUCACUGCUGCACCAGAACCUCCAGCUGACUUCACUGCUGCACCAGAACCUCCAGCUGACUGCACUGCUGCACCAGAACCUCAAGCUGACUUCACUGCUGCACCAGAACCUCCAGUUGGUGCAUUUGGUGACACGUGCACAGUCACCCAUCAGGGCAAAGCAACGACGUACAACAUCUCAAACCCUAAGAGCAAUCCAACGUGUGAAUACAGCUGGGCUGAUUCUAAUCUAUUGGUACUGGCAACUGAUGCCGAACCCGAAGGAAAAGGAAUUAUAUCCUCAUCUCACUCCUCUCUCACUUUGCUUGGAUGCUGGAAGAAUGCUUGUGUUACAAUUUAUUGCCAUCUGAAGCCCCACACAACCUGCUGCUACACUAACUGCACUGAUGCACCAGAACCUCAAGGUAGGGAUGCAUUACUUUCACUAACUCCACAAAUGGCAACAUGCAAACCUAUGUCUUCCGUCUUAGUUAUCUGGUAG